rnacentral:tRNA from 1 species
GCGCUCGUAGCUCAACUGGAUAGAGCAGCGGACUUCGGAUCCGCAGGCUGCGGGUUCAAAUCCUGCCGGGCGCGCCA